rnacentral:rRNA from 1 species
UCCGGUACUCGUUAAGGCUGAGCUGUGAUGGGGAGAAGACAUUGUGUCUUCGAGUCGUUGAUUUCACACUGCCGAGAAAAGCCUCUAGAUAGAAAAUAGGUGCCCGUACCGCAAACCGACACAGGUAGUCAAGAUGAGAAUUCUAAGGUGAGCGAGCGAACUCUCGUUAAGGAACUCGGCAAAAUGACCCCGUAACUUCGGGAGAAGGGGUGCUCUUUAGGGUUAACGCCCAGAAGAGCCGCAGUGAAUAGGCCCAAGCGACUGUUUAUCAAAAACACAGGUCUCUGCUAAACCGUAAGGUGAUGUAUAGGGGCUGACGCCUGCCCGGUGCUGGAAGGUUAAGAGGAGUGGUUAGCUUCUGCGAAGCUACGAAUCGAAGCCCCAGUAAACGGCGGCCGUAACUAUAACGGUCCUAAGGUAGCGAAAUUCCUUGUCGGGUAAGUUCCGACCCGCACGAAAGGCGUAACGAUUUGGGCACUGUCUCAACGAGAGACUCGGUGAAAUCAUAGUACCUGUGAAGAUGCAGGUUACCCGCGACAGGACGGAAAGACCCCGUGGAGCUUUACUGUAGCCUGAUAUUGAAAUUCGGCACAGCUUGUACAGGAUAGGUAGGAGCCUUUGAAACGUGAGCGCUAGCUUACGUGGAGGCGCUGGUGGG